AGAGAGUGGCUGGUGAGGCUGAGCACCUGUACUCAUCAGCUUUCUAAUCUCCACUCGACCCUGGACGUGGGCGCCAGCAUCACUCACCAUCUUCAGUUGGAGGAACUCAGGCGCCGUGGCGAGGAAGCUGGUGUCCAGCACAGUCAGGACCCGUGACAGACAGGCUGGCCCCACUGUUCAGACAGACAGGAGCUCAACCUGCUCUGCCGCGAACACCCACAUACCACCGCGCGAUUCCACCGUGAAGACUGCGCCGCGUUCACUCUACCAGACGUCCACCCAUCCACCCCCAGCCCCUGCCCCUUGGUCCCGAUCUGAGGAUCCGUCGUAUCUUUGCGUGCAUUUCAAAAAGCAACUGCAGACCCUUCGCCUCAAACACCGGAGCUCGCGUUCCAUCAGCCGCAGUGCAAUGUUCACGUCAGUGAGGAGACUUUCCCUACGGUGAAAUGCACAGACGUGAGGCUGACAACGGGCGCUGAGCCGGGAAUCCAGGGACCUGGUGCUGUGACACGUAGGACUCGGAGCCACUUAGCUCUGCUGGUCUGCGGUGGCCCAAGGUAGGGCUGUCACCUCGCCCGAGGUCCUUUUUGAUGGAGUUUUCUUUUGCCAAAGAUUGGGGUGUAGAGAAGUCACUUUGUCUGUCCUCCCCAGAACUUGGUUUGUUCAUUCUUUCUCUUCUUAUUCCAUGACUUUUAUUGAACGCCUGUGGUGUGACAUCGGUGGUGAGAAAAAAAA